GUACGGUAUAAACCUCUCUUGAAUAAAUCUCAACAAUCUUAUCAUUAUCCCCUAACCCAAUAGAUAUAAUCAAUUCCAAUGAAUCUUCCAGUCCAUUUUUUUCAUAAACACCUAAAAUCCUCUCAUCAUCUUGCAAUGUACCUAACUUGCGUAAUUGUCCUUCAAUAUCAUAUAAUCUUUUUCUUUCUUUUCUUUUAAAAUCAUCAACUUUCUUAUAC
rnacentral:lncRNA from 1 species